rnacentral:rRNA from 1 species
UACGAAGGGUGCAAACGUUGCUCGGAAUCAUUGGGCGUAAAGCGCACGUAGGCGGCCUCGCAAGUCUGAUGUGAAAUCCCUCGGCUCAACCGAGGACGUGCAUCGGAAACUGCGGGGCUUGAGUACUGAAGAGGAUCGCGGAAUUCCCGGUGUAGAGGUGAAAUUCGUAGAUAUUCGGAGGAACACCAGUGGCGAAGGCGGCUCACUGGUCCAUUACUGACGCUGAGGUGCGAAAGCGUGGGGAGCAAACAGG